GAGUAGCGCUUGUCUCUGUAGACAGCGCAUGGCUCAUGUAAUCAGCGAUCGGUUCUUUCAUAGUACCUUAGUACAUGGAUACCUGUGGUAAUUCUAGAGCUAAUACAUGCUAAAAACCCCGACUUCGGAAGGGGUGUAUUUAUUAGAUAAAAAACCAAUGCCCUUCGGGGCUCCUUGGUGAUUCAUAAUAACUUAACGAAUCGCAUGGCCUUGCGCCGGCGAUGGUUCAUUCAAAUUUCUGCCCUAUCAACUUUCGAUGGGAGGAUAGUGGCCUACCAUGGUGGCAACGGGUAACGGGGAAUUAGGGUUCGAUUCCGGAGAGGGAGCCUGAGAAACGGCUACCACAUCCGAGGAAGGCAGCAGGCGCGCAAAUUACCCAAUCCCGACACGGGGAGGUAGUGACAAUAAAUACUGAUACGGGGCCUCUUUCGGGACUCGUAAUUGGAAUUGAGAACAAUCUAAUUCCCUUAACGA
rnacentral:rRNA from 1 species